rnacentral:rRNA from 1 species
GUUGGUGACUUGUCGUGGCGGUCACACCUCUUCCCAUUCCGAACAGAGAAGUUAAGCGCUACAGAGCCGAUGAUAGUCUCUUGGGGCGAAAGUAAGCAGUCGCCAGCA